rnacentral:lncRNA from 1 species
UGGCCUCUUGAAUACUAUCCACAAGGUGGCUUACUAAUAAAUUUGUUUUUUUGUAGUUCUGGAAAGUGGGAAGUUUGAGUUCAAAGAGCCAGAAGAUUCAAUGUCUGGAGAGAGUUCCCGGCCUGCUGUUUAUGCCUGGUGCCGCUUCAGAAGACCUGAGAAAUACAGGGAAUAUGUUAUGAAAUACAGGAACCAAGUGAUCCUAUUUCUUUUGGGAAGAAAAAGAACGGCGGCGGCACUCACUCUGCGCAGGGAGUAGUGCUGAAGGUCUGAGUACCGACC